AUAUUUUAUUGUCAUACUAUUUGUUAUGCCUCAAAUGGAGAAGGAACUGAAACUGUAUGAUCAGGAUGAUCCUGCUCAUAACAGUGACCACUGAAGGAAAAAUAGGAGGCACCAAAGCAGCAAGAUUUGAACAUGUUCAGACCCUAGUGGUUGGAUCUACCAUCUCUUAUCUGGCAGACAAAUAGCUACUUCACUGCUGGGGCCACAAAGACAGCAAGAACAGAGCUGUUGGUCAUGAUGGAAGGUGAAUUGGGCAGACUAGCCCAAAGAAGCUCAGCAAAUGUGUUCCAUUUCUUGGAGGAGGACAACUAUAUCCUCGUGUUUCUGGUAUGAGCUCUAAGAAUCAACACCAAGAUCUCUUCAUCUGACUGCACUUGGGCACUUCAUGCCAUUUGAGAAGCAUCUCAGACAGUGUGCCAGGCAUCCCCAUCAGGCUGGCAGUGUGCCUUGGUCUGAAAUCCCUCAUCCGAGAAACCAGUUCACAUUUUCCCACACCUCUACUUCUGAACGGAAGGGAGAAUAAAGAAUGAAAAAUGGAUGGGAAAAGUAAAUGGACACCACUGAAUAUGGACCACAGCUUUAAAUCACUUUGAUGCCAGUCUCUACUUGAAGUUAAAGCCUCUAACAAGGAACAGUGAUUCUGAAAGAACCUGCCUGGAGGGGAUUUCAAAGAACUGAAGAUCCCUCCAGUCUCCUCAGAGGACAUCUUGGAAGGGCUGGUCCAGAACGAAUGUUUAUCUUGGAAGAACAAGGCCUGGAAAUACGGAGAAAGGAGCUCCGAAAAUAGAAAGUCCCAGGAAAUAAGGAUGUCCCCACUGUCUAAACUGGCCUCAUGAAUUCCAGUCUGAACUGGCAACCUGGUACACCCAGUGUGUCCAAAAUCACCACCCUUCUACUCAAGCAGUCAUCGAGUUCCACGUUCUCACCCCAGUAUUGAAUCAGCUCCACCUAAACCAACCAUAAAUUGGAUCUAACAUGGUUUUAAAAUCUUAAAAUGAAGGAUGUUUCAAUUCCUCAUUACUCUUGCCAUUUAGAUUUUGUUCUACUAUCUGUCCUAAAUAUCUCUAAGUUCAGUUUUGCUUGUUUUGUCCAUAGCCGACCAUAGUAUUUCUUUGAUCAAUUUAGUUGUCUUUAAAGUUUUAAAAAUCAUUUCCAAGCUUUUCCUUGGCCUUCUGUACAAUAAAAACUUUGUUUUAAUUUCUUUUGUAAGCCAUGAAUUCCACAUCACUAUGUGGAUCACUUUAACCUUCACCAAUGUCUCCAAAUGUAGUGUAAGACAUACCAAACUCACAAGAUAUUCACAAUGUUCACUGUGUUUCAGCAUUCAUUAAGCCCUUGCCCACCAUGUUUCUUAUUUUCUGCUCCUGUACAACAGAGGAGUCGCGUUCAGCCACUGCUCUGCUAUUCAGAAACUUCUGACUGUUCAAAGAGUGCUUGCAAUAAGUUGAACAGAAGUAAAAGAACCAAAUAAAACAGGGGUUUGAUCUUCUCCAAACCUUCUUU
ensembl:lncRNA